rnacentral:rRNA from 1 species
UACGGGGGGGGUAAGCGUUGUUCGGAAUUACUGGGCGUAAAGGGCUCGUAGGUGGCCAACUAAGUCAGACGUGAAAUCCCUCAGCUUAACUGGGGAACUGCGUCUGAUACUGGAUGGCUUGGAUUUGGGAGAGGGAUGCGGAAUUCCAGGUGUAGCGGUGAAAUGCGUAGAUAUCUGGAGGAACACCGGUGGCGAAGGCGGCAUCCUGGACCAAUAUUGACGCUGAGGAGCGAAAGCCAGGGGAGCAAACGGG